UUAAGCGACUAAGCGUACACGGUGGAUGCCCUGGCAGUCAGAGGCGAUGAAGGACGUGCUAAUCUGCGAUAAGCGUCGGUAAGGUGAUAUGAACCGUUAUAACCGGCGAUUUCCGAAUGGGGAAACCCAGUGUGUUUCGACACACUAUCAUUAACUGAAUCCAUAGGUUAAUGAGGCGAACCGGGGGAACUGAAACAUCUAAGUACCCCGAGGAAAAGAAAUCAACCGAGAUUCCCCCAGUAGCGGCGAGCGAACGGGGAGGAGCCCAGAGCCUGAAUCAGUGUGUGUGUUAGUGGAAGCGUCUGGAAAGGCGCGCGAUACAGGGUGACAGCCCCGUACACAAAAAUGCACAUGCUGUGAGCUCGAUGAGUAGGGCGGGACACGUGGUAUCCUGUCUGAAUAUGGGGGGACCAUCCUCCAAGGCUAAAUACUCCUGACUGACCGAUAGUGAACCAGUACCGUGAGGGAAAGGCGAAAAGAACCCCGGCGAGGGGAGUGAAAAAGAACCUGAAACCGUGUACGUACAAGCAGUGGGAGCCUCUUUUAUGGGGUGACUGCGUACCUUUUGUAUAAUGGGUCAGCGACUUAUAUUCUGUAGCAAGGUUAACCGAAUAGGGGAGCCGAAGGGAAACCGAGUCUUAACUGGGCGUUAAGUUGCAGGGUAUAGACCCGAAACCCGGUGAUCUAGCCAUGGGCAGGUUGAAGGUUGGGUAACACUAACUGGAGGACCGAACCGACUAAUGUUGAAAAAUUAGCGGAUGACUUGUGGCUGGGGGUGAAAGGCCAAUCAAACCGGGAGAUAGCUGGUUCUCCCCGAAAGCUAUUUAGGUAGCGCCUCGUGAAUUCAUCUCCGGGGGUAGAGCACUGUUUCGGCAAGGGGGUCAUCCCGACUUACCAACCCGAUGCAAACUGCGAAUACCGGAGAAUGUUAUCACGGGAGACACACGGCGGGUGCUAACGUCCGUCGUGAAGAGGGAAACAACCCAGACCGCCAGCUAAGGUCCCAAAGUCAUGGUUAAGUGGGAAACGAUGUGGGAAGGCCCAGACAGCCAGGAUGUUGGCUUAGAAGCAGCCAUCAUUUAAAGAAAGCGUAAUAGCUCACUGGUCGAGUCGGCCUGCGCGGAAGAUGUAACGGGGCUAAACCAUGCACCGAAGCUGCGGCAGCGACGCUGAUGCGUUGUUGGGUAGGGGAGCGUUCUGUAAGCCUGCGAAGGUGUGCUGUGAGGCAUGCUGGAGGUAUCAGAAGUGCGAAUGCUGACAUAAGUAACGAUAAAGCGGGUGAAAAGCCCGCUCGCCGGAAGACCAAGGGUUCCUGUCCAACGUUAAUCGGGGCAGGGUGAGUCGACCCCUAAGGCGAGGCCGAAAGGCGUAGUCGAUGGGAAACAGGUUAAUAUUCCUGUACUUGGUGUUACUGCGAAGGGGGGACGGAGAAGGCUAUGUUGGCCGGGCGACGGUUGUCCCGGUUUAAGCGUGUAGGCUGGUUUUCCAGGCAAAUCCGGAAAAUCAAGGCUGAGGCGUGAUGACGAGGCACUACGGUGCUGAAGCAACAAAUGCCCUGCUUCCAGGAAAAGCCUCUAAGCAUCAGGUAACAUCAAAUCGUACCCCAAACCGACACAGGUGGUCAGGUAGAGAAUACCAAGGCGCUUGAGAGAACUCGGGUGAAGGAACUAGGCAAAAAUGGUGCCGUAACUUCGGGAGAAGGCACGCUGAUAUGUAGGUGAAGUCCCUCGCGGAUGGAGCUGAAAUCAGUCGAAGAUACCAGCUGGCUGCAACUGUUUAUUAAAAACACAGCACUGUGCAAACACGAAAGUGGACGUAUACGGUGUGACGCCUGCCCGGUGCCGGAAGGUUAAUUGAUGGGGUCAGCGCAAGCGAAGCUCUUGAUCGAAGCCCCGGUAAACGGCGGCCGUAACUAUAACGGUCCUAAGGUAGCGAAAUUCCUUGUCGGGUAAGUUCCGACCUGCACGAAUGGCGUAAUGAUGGCCAGGCUGUCUCCACCCGAGACUCAGUGAAAUUGAACUCGCUGUGAAGAUGCAGUGUACCCGCGGCAAGACGGAAAGACCCCGUGAACCUUUACUAUAGCUUGACACUGAACAUUGAGCCUUGAUGUGUAGGAUAGGUGGGAGGCUUUGAAGUGUGGACGCCAGUCUGCAUGGAGCCGACCUUGAAAUACCACCCUUUAAUGUUUGAUGUUCUAACGUGGACCCGUAAUCCGGGUUGCGGACAGUGUCUGGUGGGUAGUUUGACUGGGGCGGUCUCCUCCUAAAGAGUAACGGAGGAGCACGAAGGUUGGCUAAUCCUGGUCGGACAUCAGGAGGUUAGUGCAAUGGCAUAAGCCAGCUUGACUGCGAGCGUGACGGCGCGAGCAGGUGCGAAAGCAGGUCAUAGUGAUCCGGUGGUUCUGAAUGGAAGGGCCAUCGCUCAACGGAUAAAAGGUACUCCGGGGAUAACAGGCUGAUACCGCCCAAGAGUUCAUAUCGACGGCGGUGUUUGGCACCUCGAUGUCGGCUCAUCACAUCCUGGGGCUGAAGUAGGUCCCAAGGGUAUGGCUGUUCGCCAUUUAAAGUGGUACGCGAGCUGGGUUUAGAACGUCGUGAGACAGUUCGGUCCCUAUCUGCCGUGGGCGCUGGAGAAUUGAGGGGGGCUGCUCCUAGUACGAGAGGACCGGAGUGGACGCAUCACUGGUGUUCGGGUUGUCAUGCCAAUGGCACUGCCCGGUAGCUAAAUGCGGAAGAGAUAAGUGCUGAAAGCAUCUAAGCACGAAACUUGCCCCGAGAUGAGUUCUCCCUGACUCCUUGAGAGUCCUGAAGGAACGUUGAAGACGACGACGUUGAUAGGCCGGGUGUGUAAGCGCAGCGAUGCGUUGAGCUAACCGGUACUAAUGAACCGUGAGGCUUAACCUU
rnacentral:rRNA from 1 species